AGGUGUGGGGCCUUAUCAACGGGUUCCGUGCCGCAGCUAACGCAUUAAGUGCCCCGCCUGGGGAGUACGGCCGCAAGGCUAAAACUCAAAGGAAUUGACGGGGGCCCGCACAAGCGGCGGAGCAUGUUGCUUAAUUCGAGGCAACGCGAAGAACCUUACCUGGGUUUGACAUGUAGGGAAAAGCCGUAGAGAUACGGUGUCCUUCGGGGCCCUACACAGGUGGUGCAUGGCUGUCGU
rnacentral:rRNA from 1 species